GGCCCUUUAGCUCAGUGGUUAGAGCAGGCGACUCAUAAUCGCUUGGUCGUUGGUUCAAACCCAACAGGGGCCACCA
rnacentral:tRNA from 60 species